rnacentral:rRNA from 1 species
CGCGUAGGCGGCUCGCCAAGUCAGGGGUGAAAUACUUCAGCUUAACUGGAGAAGUGCCCUUGAUACUGGCGGGCUUGAGGGAGGUAGGGGCAUGUGGAACUUCUGGUGGAGCGGUGAAAUGCGUUGAUAUCAGAAGGAACGCCGGUGGCGAAAGCGACGUGCUGGACCUCUUCUGACGCUGAGGCGCGAAAGCUAGGGGAGCAAACG